GACGAACGCUGGCGGCGUGCUUAACACAUGCAAGUCGAACGGAAAGGCCCUUCGGGGUACUCGAGUGGCGAACGGGUGAGUAACACGUGGGGGAUCUGCCCUGCACUUUGGGAUAAGCCUGGGAAACUGGGUCUAAUACCGAAUAGGACCACGCGCUUCAUGGUGUGUGGUGGAAAGCUUUUGCGGUGUGGGAUGGGCCCGCGGCCUAUCAGCUUGUUGGUGGGGUAAUGGCCUACCAAGGCGACGACGGGUAGCCGGCCUGAGAGGGUGACCGGCCACACUGGGACUGAGAUACGGCCCAGACUCCUACGGGAGGCAGCAGUGGGGAAUAUUGCACAAUGGGCGCAAGCCUGAUGCAGCGACGCCGCGUGAGGGAUGACGGCCUUCGGGUUGUAAACCUCUUUCAAUAGGGACGAAGCGCAAGUGACGGUACCUAUAGAAGAAGCACCGGCCAACUACGUG
rnacentral:rRNA from 1 species